UCCCAUAAACCGUGGCUCAGUUCAGAUCGUAGGCUGCAACUCGCCUACGUGAAGGAGGAAUCGCUAGUAAUCGCGGGUCAGCAUACUGCGGUGAAUACGUUCCCGGGCCUUGUACACACCGCCCGUCACACCAUGGAAGUUGGCCACGCCCGAAGCCGUUACUCCAACCCUUGUGGAGGAGGACGUCGAAGGUGGGGCUGAUGACUGGGGUGAAGUCGUAACAAGGUAGCCGUACCGGAAGGUGCGGCUGGAUCACCUCCUAA
rnacentral:rRNA from 1 species